rnacentral:rRNA from 1 species
AUUGAACGCUGGCGGCAGGCCUAACACAUGCAAAUCGAACGGUAACAGGAAGAAGCUUGCUUCUUUGCUGACGAGUGGCGGACGGGUGAGUAAUGUCUGGGAAACUGCCUGAUGGAGGGGGAUAACUACUGGAAACGGUAGCUAAUACCGCAUAACGUCGCAAGACCAAAGAGGGGGACCUUCGGGCCUCUUGCCAUCGGAUGUGCCCAGAUGGGAUUAGCUAGUAGGUGGGGUAACGGCUCACCUAGGCGACGAUCCCUAGCUGGUCUGAGAGGAUGACCGGCCACCCUGGAACUAAGACACGGUCCAGACCCCUCCGGGAGGCAGCGGGGGGGAAUUUUGAACAAGGGGGGAAAGCCUGAUGCAGCCAUCCGGGGGGAAGAAAGAAGGCCUUGGGGUUUUAAAGUACUUCCAGGGGGGAGGAAGGGAGAAAAGUUAAUACCUUUACUCAUUGACGUUACCCGAAAAAAAAGCCCGGGCUAACCCCGUG